rnacentral:rRNA from 1 species
UACGUAGGGACCAAGCGUUGUUCGGAUUUACUGGGCGUAAAGGGCGCGUAGGCGGCUUAACAAGUCACUUGUGAAAUCUCCGGGCUUAACUCGGAACGGCCAAGUGAAACUGUCAAGCUAGAGUGCAGAAGGGGCAAUCGGAAUUCUUGGUGUAGCGGUGAAAUGCGUAGAUAUCAAGAGGAACACCUGAGGUGAAGACGGGUUGCUGGGCUGACACUGACGCUGAGGCGCGAAAGCUAGGGUAGCAAACGGG